CGCGUAGGCGGAUGGCACAGUCAGAUGUGAAAUUCCCGGGCUUAACCUGGGGGCUGCAUUUGAUACGUGUUGUCUAGAGUGAGGAAGAGGGUCGUGGAAUUCCCAGUGUAGAGGUGAAAUUCGUAGAUAUUGGGAAGAACACCGGUGGCGAAGGCGGCGACCUGGUCCUUGACUGACGCUGAGGCGCGAAAGCGUGGGGAGCAAACAGGAUUAGAUACCCUGGUAGUCCACGCUGUAAACGAUGUGUGCUGGAUGUUGGGCGACCUAGUCGCUCAGUGUCGUAGCUAACGCGAUAAGCACACCGCCUGGGGAGUACGGCCGCAAGGUUGAA
rnacentral:rRNA from 1 species